rnacentral:rRNA from 1 species
CCUACGUGAGGCAGCAGUGAGGAAUAUUGGUCAAUGGACGCAAGUCUGAACCAGCCAUGCCGCGUGCAUGAAGACGGCUCUAUGAGUUGUAAACUGCUUUUGUACGAGGGUAAACGCAGAUACGCGUAUCUGUCUGAAAGUAUCGUACGACUAAGGAUCGGCUAACUCCGUGCCAGCAGCCGCGGUAAUACGGAGGAUUCGAGCGUUAUCCGGAUUUAUUUGGUUUAAAGGGUGCGUAGGCGGUCUGAUAAGUUAGAGGUGAAAUCCCGAGGCGCAACUUGGGAAUUGGCGCUGAUACUGGUGGGCGAGAGAGUAGUUGCGGUAGGGAGAAGGUAUGGGGUAGCGGUGAAAUGCUUAGAGAUCA